rnacentral:misc_RNA from 1 species
GAUGAAGAACGCAGUGAAAUGCGAUAAUUAAUGUGAAUUGCAGAAUUCAGUGAAUCAUCGAGUCUUUGAACGCACAUUGCGCCCCCUGGUAUUCCGGGGGGCAUGCCUGUCCGAGCGUCAUUGCUGCCCUCAAGCACGGCUUGUGUGUUGGGCUUCCGUCCCUGGCAACGGGGACGGGCCCAAAAGGCAGUGGCGGCACCAUGUCUGGUCCUCGAGCGUAUGGGGCUUUGUCACCCGCUCCCGUAGGUCCAGCUGGCAGCUAGCCUCGCAACCAAUCUUUUUAACCAGGUUGACCUCGGAUCAGGUAGGGAUACCCGCUGAACUUAAGCAUAUCAAUAGGCGGAGGA